CACUGAGAGACAGAGAGAGGGGGGGGGGGGGGACAAGAGGCAUGAGACGGAGCUGAAGCUGGAGGCGUGAUUAACGAGGAUGGAGACGGCGGGACAAACGUGCGGGAGAGACGACCCUGGAAGGAGGUGUCUGGUCACAAAGGAAGAAGCUCCUGCUGAGCUGACGGGAGAAAUCCGGGUCGACCACGUUGUCUCCGUCCUGCCUUCAUACAAAUUCUGUUAGAAGGGGAAACUAAGCCGUAUGAAUAAUUAAUCAGACUCCGGUAUUGCUGUCGGGGCCCAGAAGAAAGAAAUAAAGGUCAUGUAAUGCAAAAAUGUACACUGUGUCAAAAUGAUUCAUCUUUGUUUGUAGGUUUAAUUUCAAGAGAGGCGAGUUAUGAUGUUAUGAUGAUGUAUUAAAUCAUCACAGGAUAUUUUCCCCUCAACUGCUCACUUUGUUUAUGCCAAUAUUGGAUAAGGAUAGAAACUUGUUUUUUUUCUUUCUUUUUUUUUGCUCAUCCAAUCGCAUGCAGCACAGCAGAUAGAGAGGAAACGAAUGCAGAAUAAACAGAAGAGGUUUAGGGGGAUAAAGAAUCAGGAUCUAUGAUGAAGAACUGCAAACAUAUCUGUCUAAACAAUGUCUGCUUUGCUUGCUGUCAAAUCCACGCGUGUGAGUUCAUGUCUACUUCCUUCCUACUUUCGAUUAAACUCUCUUUGUGUUUG